rnacentral:rRNA from 1 species
AACGAACGCUGGCGGCAUGCCUAACACAUGCAAGUCGAACGAGACCUUCGGGUCUAGUGGCGCACGGGUGCGUAACGCGUGGGAACCUGCCCUUAGGUUCGGAAUAACUCCCCGAAAGGGGUGCUAAUACCGGAUAAUGUCUUCGGACCAAAGAUUUAUCGCCUUUGGAUGGGCCCGCGUUGGAUUAGCUAGUUGGUAGGGUAAAAGCCUACCAAGGCGACGAUCCAUAGCUGGUCUGAGAGGAUGAUCAGCCACACUGGGACUGAGACACGGCCCAGACUCCUACGGGAGGCAGCAGUAGGGAAUAUUGGACGAUGGGCGAGAGCCUGGUCCAGCAAUGCCGCGUGAGUGAUGAAGGCCUUAGGGUUGUAAAGCUCUUUUACCCGGGAUGAUAAUGACAGUACCGGGAGAAUAAGCUCCGGCUAACUCCGUG